AGCGAACGCUGGCGGCAGGCCUAACACAUGCAAGUCGAACGAACCUUUCGGGGUUAGUGGCGGACGGGUGAGUAACACGUUGGAACGUGCCUUUAGGUUCGGAAUAACUCAGGGAAACUUGUGCUAAUACCGAAUGUGCCCUUCGGGGGAAAGAUUUAUCGCCUUUAGAGCGGCCCGCGUCUGAUUAGCUAGUUGGUUGAGGUAAUGGCUCACCAAGGCGACGAUCAGUAGCUGGUCUGAGAGGAUGAUCAGCCACAUUGGGACUGAGACACGGCCCAAACUCCUACGGGAGGCAGCAGUGGGGAAUCUUGCGCAAUGGGCGAAAGCCUGACGCAGCCAUGCCGCGUGAAUGAUGAAGGUCUUAGGAUUGUAAAAUUCUUUCACCGGGGACGAUAAUGACGGUACCCGGAGAAGAAGCCCCGGCUAACUUCGUG
rnacentral:rRNA from 1 species